UACGAACUGUGCGAACGUUAUUCGGAAUCACUGGGCUUACAGGGUGCGUAGGCGGCUUUUCAAGUCAGGUGUGAAAGCCCCCGGCUCAACCGGGGAAUUGCGCUUGAAACUGUUGGGCUCGAGUCAGCUAGAGGUGCACGGGAACUUCCAGUGGAGCGGUGAAAUGUGUUGAUAUUGGAAGGAACACCAGAGGCGUAAGCGGUGCACUGGGGCUGGUCUGACGCUGAGGCACGAAAGCCAGGGGAGCGAACCGGGG
rnacentral:rRNA from 1 species